rnacentral:rRNA from 1 species
GCUAAUACCCCAUAUGCUUUCGAGUGAAAUGGAUUUUAUCCGCCUAAAGAGAAGCUCGCGGCUGAUUAGCUUGUUGGUAAGGUAAGAGCUUACCAAGGCGACGAUCAGUAUCUGGUUUGAGAGGACGAUCAGACACACUGGAACUGAGACACGGUCCAGACUCCUACGGGAGGCAGCAGUGGGGAAUUUUCCGCAAUGGGCGAAAGCCUGACGGAGCAAUACCGCGUGAGGGAAGAAUGCCUAUGGGUUGUAAACCUCUUUUUUCAGGGAGGAAUAAAAUGACGUGUACCUGAAGAAUAAGCAUCGGCUAACUCCGUGCCAGCAGCCGCGGUAAGACGGAGGAUGCAAGUGUUAUCCGGAAUCACUGGGCGUAAAGCGUCUGUAGGUGGUUUAAUAAGUCAACUGUUAAAUCUUGAGGCUCAACUUCAAAAUCGCAGUCGAAACUAUUAGACUAGAGUAUAGUAGAGGUAAAGGGAAUUUCCAGUGGAGCGGUGAAAUGCGUAGAUAUUGGAAAGAACACCGAUGGCGAAAGCACUUUACUGGGCUAUUACUAACACUCAGAGACGAAAGCUAGGGUAGCAAAUGGGAUUAGAUA